rnacentral:lncRNA from 1 species
ACCGAAUCAAUUAUAUUACAAGAUUUAGUUAACAGGAAAGAGAUUCCUUAAAAGGAGAGACAAACCCUCCUAUACCGAAUCAAAAUCACAAAAUAAACCAAAAGGGAUGAGUAUAUUGCCAAUCACCGGUAAUUCACCAAUUAGGAACACAGUACCAAUACAUUGACGCGAAUAAAGCAAAGAAAUGUAACCAAAGCUCACUAAUUGUACAACAUAAACUUAAAUUUAUAUGUCCAUCAAACCACCAUUAGAGAGUCCUGAUCUUCAACAAGGCCAGACUUAACAGAAACCAGAUCAUUAAACAAAAAAAAAAAUACUUCAAAAUAUUAGUAAAGGUUUCAGAUCGAAACACAUAAGCUUAUAUAGGUAUCAGAAUAACAAAAUGAGGAUGUCUUUUCUGUAUAUGUAUGCGUAUAUAUAUGUGCAGAGAAAAAGAGAAUCUUGUCUUACCAGAAGCAGGCGGAAACGCGACCAGGCUAUCGAAGAAGAAGUGCGAAACUUUGGCGAGGAGGGAAGUAAACGCUUGAGAUAAAAUUUAUGGAAAAAGAUAUAUAUAAGUUUAUAGUUUUUAG